GCUGGCAGUGAUGACAAACUUGCCCUCACUGAGAUCUGUUCAGGGUUUGAUGUUGAGAAACUUUCUCUGUGCUCAACUUGUGCUGAGCCUCC
rnacentral:snoRNA from 1 species